rnacentral:rRNA from 1 species
UACAGAGGGUGCGAGCGUUGUCCGGAUUUACUGGGCGUAAAGAGCGCGCAGGCGGUCGUUCAAGUCGAGUGUGAAAGCCCCCGGCUCAACUGGGGAGGGUCACUCGAUACUGAUCGACUCGAAGGCAGAAGAGGGAAGCGGAAUUCCCGGUGUAGUGGUGAAAUGCGUAGAUAUCGGGAGGAACACCAGUGGCGAAGGCGGCUUUCUGGUCUGCUCUUGACGCUGAGGCGCGAAAGCUAGGGUAGCAAACGGG